CGCCCGCAACCAAUGUACAUGCCCUUGACCUGAAUCGAACCUGGGACCUUUCAGUCCGCAGGCCGACGCUCUAUCCACUGAGCCAAACCGGUUUUUAAACAUAAGGCUUAACACCAACUUUAAAAUGAUGUUUAGUUCAAAGUUCUGGAUGAAAUUCUUUUUAAGACCAUUCCAAGGAAUGGAAAUGCCUUUCCAGAGGCACUCAAGUUCUGAAUAGGGCUUGAUUGGUGCAUGGCGGAAGGACACUCCUCUGACAGCACUCAGGAGAAAACUGGCAACCUGAGCAGCCUCACUAAUGGGUUUUUCCACGGGCUAUCCCAGCGUGACCAUGGAGUGCUUCAUGCAGACCCUUAAGAGCUAAGCUCAGGCUUCUUUGCCUUUUAAGAUUCUUUAGGAUUAACUGCAUUCUCUGACACAUGCCCAUGAAAAGUCCAGGGACAGGGGAGCUAGAAACUGUGAAACUUGUGUUUCCAUUUAGGAAGGGGUAAUACGGAGGCCCUAAAGGAAAAGCUUGAAGGGCUUGAAGAGAAUGCUUUGUUUUCUCAUAACAAAUGUUGCUUAUUCAUAAGGUAAUGGAUGGUGCAAGCCUUUUGUUCCUGCCCCUGUCCUCCUUUUGACCAAUCUUCUGUCCACUGGCACUUCCAGCUGCGCAAGGAUUAACAGUAACCGACGUGGAUCUCACUGACAGAGAUUCUUGUUCAUGGGCCUCAUAGAAAGGGGGAGGGGAAAGGUGAAGGUUGGAAUUGAUUGUGAACUUCAAUUAUAAUAACUAUUCCUGUCCCCCAAUGCCUUAGGUAGUUGUUAUAGCAUGUCAGCAGUCUGUUCUAAAAACUGAAGCUCUUACCCACUGGAAGGUUCUUAGUUUUAACGUGGCCACAUAUGAAGAACACAGUUACCGCUCUUCUCUCUGAACCUCAUGUUCUCAAACAGUUUUUCUCUAGCUGUGGACUGGGAAAUGAGUUUGGUGGACCACAACUGGCAUUUUUAUUAAAUAGAAUAUGAUAGGCGUAAAACAUCAGCAUGCAUCACAUUUAAUACUGUUUUCUGAAACUCCCAUUUCAGUUGUAUGUGUCUUUUUUAUGUUCCUGGGUGUUUUUUACUUUGAGCUAAUGGUCAGAAAUGUUUUAAAAAGCACUAGUUUAGCCCAUUGUAACAUCAUCUAUAGCAGUAUUAGAAAGCUUGGUGUUGCUUGAUAUUUUUCAUUUUGAUUUAAAUGUGUUUGGCCUAAGUCUCUUUAGUAACCAAAACAUUACAAUUUGAUUUCAUUUCUGUCCUUUUCAAUUCUCCUAAAUUAACAGGAACCAGUUUAGGAGAAAAUGUCAAAGGAUCCUAGUGGUCUUUUAUGUUAAAGCAAUAUUGAGGAGAAAAUGAAUACCAAACUAGAAUUAAAGCAAUUUUAAUUUUUAUGACAUAGAAAAACUGUCAGAAAUCUCCCUUUAAUUGCAUACUUUUAUAACUUAAUGAUAGUUGGCUAUAAAGUUAAUUUCUCCAAAGCAGUUAUUUUCAUAUUACUCAAAAAGGGGGACAGCCCUAGCCAGUUUGGCUCAGUGGAUAGAGUGUUGGCCUGCAGAUUGAAGGGUCCCAGGUGUGAUUCUGGUCAAAGGUACAUGCCUAGG